rnacentral:tRNA from 1 species
AUUUAAAUAGUUUAUUAAAACAUUACAUUUUCAUUGUAAAAUAAAGAGAUUCUCUUUUUAAAUA